AGGGUAAUUAAUAUGUCUACCUUCUUAAACACUUAUCAUUUCCUUGUAUUGGGAAACCCUGAACUCUUUUCUUUCAGUGCUUUAUAGGAUGAUAAUAGAGACGCCUUCUUUUGCAAUAGAACAUUAGACCUAUUUGUCUUAACUUAAUUGUAGUACUUGAUCUCACCUCCAUCUGUCCUCUCUCCCCAUUAUCCUUCUUAAUGUCUAGUGCCCACUGUUCUAUGCUCAACUGUGAGUUAGACUUUUUUAGCUUUCACCUAUGAGCAGGAACACAUGGCAUUUGUCUUUCUGUGCCUGGCUUAUUUCAUUUAACACAUGUCCUCCAAGAUCGUCCAUGAUGCUGCAAAUGUAAAUGUCCUCUUUUAAAGAAACAAUGACAUUAAAAAAAAAAGUUAGCAAGACUGCUGUUGAUUUCUCAAAUUUUUUGUUGCUAUCAUUAGAAAUUUCUUGUAUGCUGUAAUCCAAACUCUAGGAAUUACUUGAUCUGAGAAUUACAUAAAAAAUGCAGUUUAGUAGGAAUUAAAGAAGGAAGGUCUCAUGUUGCAAUGACCAUGGUGACCUUACUUGGUUCUCCUGGAGUCUGCGUUAAUGAUAAUCAUUGGUCACUUAUUGCCUAGUACUUGUGCGUACUAGGCCAAUAUUGCCAGGGCUUGUUGAGAGGUCAAAAGGAAUUUCCCCUGAUGAUAUGAUCUGAAUGAACUCCAUAGGAUGAAAAGUGAAUCAUCAUGAAGUCGGGAGCAAGGAAACCUGGUAAAAGAUGGUGAAAUUGUCCCAUAGGGUGGUGCAUACCUGUGAUCUUGGCCACUUGGGAAGCUGAGGCAGGAGAAUCACAAGUUGGAGGCCAACCUUGGCAGUUUAGUGAGACCCUAUCUCAAAAUAAAUAAAAUAAAACAAAAUAAAAAAAAAAAAACAGGGGAUGUAACUCAGUGGUAAAGCACCUCUGAGUUUAGUUCCCAGUACCAAAAAAAAAAAAAAAAAAAAAAAGAAAAUAAAGAAAAAGAUGUUAAAUUUAUUCACUGGUAGAUGAAAAUGAGGCAAAACAAGGGGUUUCUAUUGGAAAGAAUUUAAGUUCUUGCCUAGAGUCUGUCAUUAGGGAACUUAUACGACCUUAGGUAAGGCACUUAAUUUUUCUGACUUUUUCUGGAUUUCCCAUCUUGGACGAGGGCCCCACAAGUCCAAUGAGACAGCUGUCUCUGAUGCUGCCCUUUCCUCUUCCCUCCAUUGGGCUACCCAGUCCUGUCGAUUCAAUUUUGGAAAUGCUUCUGGAGUCAGCCAGUCUCUUCCCAUUCCAGUGCACUCUUCACCCAGUGGCUGGAAUAAUCUUGCUAAAACAUAAAUCUGAUCAUGUCGCCUACUUCUGUGAAAAACCUUCAGUGGCUUCCUCAUUGCCCAGAGGGUGAAGUCCGAAGGCCUUGGCAAGGCGUUCUUGGCUGGAUCCUGGGGCCCUGCCUCUCUUCUCAGUCUCUGCCCUUCACCGCCACUCACCCGUGGCUGGGACACUCGGGAUGGCUCAUUCUUCUCUGAGCACAAACUGCUGACCCACCUCCCUGGAAUUUUCUUUCUUUCCUGUUCCACCUGGCAAAAUCAAACGGAUCUUUUAAGGCUUCUCUGAAUCAUCUCUGGAAGCUUGUCCAGGCUCUAGAGAAAGUCCACUCCCCCUUCUCUCUUCCUCACUGUUCUGUGGAUCUGUUGAAGGCAGGGCCUGUGCUUGGUCUGUCUUGGAGCCCUCACACCCAGCAUGGGGCUUAGCACAUGGCAUGAGCUCAACCGUUUUUUGUUGAGUUAAAAAAAAAGGUUGAAAGAGGGAAAAUUUAAAGCAGAGGUGUUUUACUCAGCUUUUUCGCUGCGGUGACUAAAAGACCUGACCAGAAUAAUUUUAAGGGAGAAAAAAUUUAUAUAGGGGCUCACAGUUUCAGAGGUCUCAGUCCAUACAAGGCUGACUCCAUUCCUUGGGGCUUGAGGUGAGGCAGAACAUCAUGGUGGAAGAGUGUGGCAGAGGGAAGCAGCUUACAUGAUGAUCAGGAAGCAGAGACUCCACUCACCAGAUACAAAAGAUGUACCCCAAAGCCACGCCCCCAAUGCCCCCCUCUCCAGCCACACCCUACCUACCU
rnacentral:lncRNA from 1 species